ensembl:lncRNA
AUUUUGCAACAUCAAGUAAUGCGGAGAGACUCAGCAUCCACACCACCCACCCAACGCAUCCACCUUGGUUUUCCACACAGCACUCCCCCAACCCAUCCUGGCCCUCUAUAUAAAGCCCUGGCGCCUCUGUCCCCGUCCCUGCUGUCUUGUACUCAUCAACCAAUGGUCAGCCAUGGAUACGUUACGGUUUCUAAUUUUGCUCCUAUGGAUGUGUGGCUGCAGAACAAGCCACGCACUGCACAGUCUGCAGGACUCACAAAGAGAAAAUGGUAGGUUGUUUUACCAAUCCAAUAAAUGAUUUGAAUCUUCACCUUCACAUUCACACACUAAAACACACAAAUUAAAAGGCAAAUGAAUCUAAAUUCAAAAAGCAAGUUUAGCUUAGCGUGCUCCCACAGAGCUUAGGGCAGUAAUACAUUGUCCUUGAGAUGAUAUGGGCUUUACCUUUUUACAGCUCCUUAUCUUCACUUACCAUCACCAACUUACUUUCGAGAGCUAUGACCUGCCGCCUCCUCCACCACCUAGUUUAUAUCAGUCAUCGUUGGACUCUGCUGUGAAGAGAUGUAAUAUUAUUUUUCAGACCCCUCCCGUUCUGACCUCCUGAACUAUUUCAGAUUCCAGAAUGCACUGUAUGAAAGGCAGGGUCCACUCUACCACAGAGCAGACACACGUGUACAAACUGUACAAUCACUUUCACACUCAUAUUCAAGGCCGGAUUGCCAAACACACAAACACACAAAGCAAGAGAGCGCUUUGAGAAAACCUCUAUUGCGUCUGUUUUGUUGUGCUCGAAAUCAAUACGUUCCUGCGUCACCUCCAUCAUCAAAGCUCAGGCUGCUCACAUCCACAUGUAAGUUGUCCAGAAACUGUUGACCUUUAUACGCCAGGGCUUUCUUGCUGAAAGGCGCCAGCAUCACUUCGGAAAGGAAUCCUGUUCUGUCUCUUCUGUCUUAGUUAUCACAUUAGAUAGAUAAAAGAGUUAUUUUAGUAUAAUAUAAUGAUAAUAGGUAUAAUGAUAAUCAGCACUUCUUUUUAAAAAAAACUCUAAGAAACGGGACGUAACUAUAUCUUGAGUCUAGACUGUUUGGGUGGUAAAUGACAUGAUAUCAUCUCUUUUUUACCAUCUAUAAUAUCCAUUUGUCUGUGUGUCUGUGUGUCUGUGUUUGUCCAGCUGAGGUGCUGACUUCCUGUGACUUUAAUCAGAACGGUGACCCGUUCUGCAGGUUCACCCAGGACACCGCAGACAGCGGUGACUGGACCCGACACAAAGGUCCAACCCCAACAGAGGGUACUGGGCCGAGUGGAGACUACCCUGAUGGAAGUCAGUCCUGAAUGCGUGGUUUAUUGCGAUUCUUUCAUUUCAUUUGACUUUAAUGGCUUCAGAGUAUGGUUCAUUGCGAGUUCCAGGAUGGACACAUUGAAUUCUGACCCCUGACGAGAUGAAGACACAGAUUCCAUUUGUUUAAUUCUGUCUGCAGAGGGAUUCUACAUCUACCACGAGGGUGACAAUGUGUCCAAUGGGCAGAAGGCUCGUCUGCUGAGCCCUCCCCUCUCAUCAUCGGCCUCGAAGAUCUGUGUCGAGUUUCGAUACUACAUGUACGGCUCAGAUAGUCAGAAUGCGCUGAGGGUUCUGGCCAAGAGGCCCGGUGCAGAGGAAGAGGUCUGGAUCAAGACAGGAUUCCAGAGUCCAUCGUGGCUGAAGAGCUCCAUCACCGUGUCCAAAUCCAGCAGUCAGAGCGUCACUGUGAGUGUUAGCGGGUCACUGUCGGUGCUGCUUCGACACUCAAAAAUGGGGACUCAUGGCUGAGAGCAGCAAACAUGCAUCAAAAAUUAUGCUAAAGUAUAGAAUCUUUCAAAGUUACAAACCUAACACCACAAAGUCUUGACUGAAAACACUGUCGGCCACAUGAAACUAAAGCGUUCAUUGUGACAUUUUCUUUUUUCACUUGUUUGUGGUUGUGCCAACAUCAGAGAUCCUGCCCCAAGGCAGAAACUGCAUUGUUCUUCUAGCAUAAAUUCUCGAAUGCAAUUGCCUUUUUCAGUAUAAUCUGACGCUGGCUUGAAAAUUUAGACAAAUUUACUUAAAUUGUUAAAAGGGAAACCAUUUCCCACAUCCUCUGUUAUGCCUUUCUGAAAGCUAGACCCCCACUCUGGUAACUCUAGUGCAUACCUCUGCCAAGGCCCCACAGCCGUCUGUUGAAAGCACAUUUAAAUCCGCUAGAUUUCGAUUUUUAUUUGGACCGGCAUCCAAAUUGCACAGACUAGUUUUCAACGGCAUCCAUACAUCAUUCAGUCCGUGGAGCCACCAAUCUUUCUGGGCCCAUCCUUCAAUCGAGUUUCGUGGAAUUCUGGGGGCGGAGGUAAUUAAUAUGCACUACAGUCAUUAUAAAGAUUAGACAUGAAGAAAGGUUUACAACAACCACUUUUGGUGCCGUCCAAAAUGUAUUCAUUGGGCACCUUGUAGCUCAGGAGUUGGAGAGGGGUCGUCCACUGACCAGAAGGUCGGCGGUUUGAUCCCGACUUGAAGUGAUUACGGAACAAUACAUCUUUAGAAGCAUUCCAGCAUCAGUAUUCCAAAGGCUUGCUGUUGCUUCACCUAAUGACUAUAUACACUGUAUAUAUAUAUAUAUUUAUGACUGCCAAAAUGAGCAACGCACUGUAGGUUUUCAUGUUGGUCACAACUGUCCCCAUACACGCGCUUCCCCUCUAAAUUUGUCAUCUCAACUACUGUAUAUCCUUCUCAAUUGACGGUGUUAUGAAUGGCUGACAGUGUCUGCUGGUCGGGAGACAACAGAAGGUUCAGCACCAAGGGUCUCAUUCUCAUCUGAGGGAGGUGCCUCAUAAUCAGGGUCCUCCCCAACAUGAUCCUUUAGCUGUGACACAACUGCACUGAGAGGAAACCUUUUUCUUACUGGUCAUUUACCAAAUGAGAGCAAGGUCACAGAGCACCAAGAUGUCUGCUGUGCAAGUUUUUUUUAUGUCUUUGCUCCUCCCCUGAGCUAUCAAAGUUCUCGUGGGUAUUAUGUCGUGUGAACUAUCAGUGGAUCUCACACAACUACAGAUAUGGUUAGGAAGAUUAUAGGGCCCUAAAGCAGAGGAAUGAUUUUUGACGAUUAUAAAAUUGCAUGUUAUGGUGACCUCAAUAUGAUCCUAAACAACAACUAAAAAAUGUCAGAAGAAUAUUUAUACUUUGUAUAUGUUUCAUAAAGCUAAAAUAGCCUGGGAUCAAAUUGACCCCAAAUAACACAGAUGCGUCAUUAAAUAUGAAUCAAAAAUGCAAACUGUUAUGUUAUUGCUGCUAUUGCUUAAAUUAAAAUGACAACAAAGCUGUAGCUCGUGUCAAUGGUCGAGAUUUUAUCAUUGUGUGGUGCAAAUUUCAAACAGAUUUCAAAAUAACUGGCGAAAGGAAAAUGUGAAUGAUGGCAUAUGUUUAUGUUCACGGUGCUUCUUCCAUGCAGGUUUGUGAGUGCCGGUUAAUUUAACCACUGCAAUGCUUAGCAGCAGCUUUAGGGCGAUGAUAUUUUCUCUCUGUUUUCCAGAUUGUGUUUGAGGCUCAGAGAGGCUUCACAUCCUCCUGUGACUCCGCUUUGGACAACAUUGUCAUCACUGAAGGAGUGUGUCCCUGUGAGUUUAUAGACACACACACACACACACGCACGUACACACACACACACACACACACACACACACACACACACACACACACACACACACACACACACACACACACACACACACACACACACACACACACAUAGCUGUCUCACUG